ACCUGGGUGGCUCAGUCUGUUGAGCGUCUGGCUUUGGCUCAGGUAAUGAUCUCGAGGUUUGUGAGUUCAAGCCCCACAUCAGGUU
rnacentral:tRNA from 1 species